AGCUUUGCGCAGUGGCAGUAUCGUAGCCUAUGAGGUAAAUCCGAGGCGCGAUUAUUGCUGGUUGAAAACUUGACCCAAUACCCCGCUUGUAACGACUUGAAAUAUAGUCGGAACUUGCAAUUUUUGACAGGCUCUGAGGAGA